GACGAACGCUGGCGGCGUGCUUAACACAUGCAAGUCGAACGGAAAGGCCCUGCUUUUGUGGGGUGCUCGAGUGGCGAACGGGUGAGUAACACGUGAGUAACCUGCCCUUGACUUUGGGAUAACUUCAGGAAACUGGGGCUAAUACCGGAUAGGAGCUCCUGCUGCAUGGUGGGGGUUGGAAAGUUUCGGCGGUUGGGGAUGGACUCGCGGCUUAUCAGCUUGUUGGUGGGGUAGUGGCUUACCAAGGCUUUGACGGGUAGCCGGCCUGAGAGGGUGACCGGCCACAUUGGGACUGAGAUACGGCCCAGACGCCUACGGGAGGCAGCAGUGGGGAAUAUUGCACAAUGGGCGGAAGCCUGAUGCAGCAACGCCGCGUGCGGGAUGACGGCCUUCGGGUUGUAAACCGCUUACGCCUGUGACGAAGCGUGAGUGACGGUAAUGGGUAAAGAAGCACCGGCUAACUACGUG
rnacentral:rRNA from 1 species